rnacentral:misc_RNA from 1 species
AAGUCGUAACAAGGUUUCCGUAGGUGAACCUGCGGAAGGAUCAUUAUUGAAUUUUGAAGGGGGUUGUAGCUGAUCUUUUCAAGAUAUGUGCACACCUCUAUCUAUACACCCAUGUGCACCUUUUGUAGGCUUUUUUUUGCCUAUGUUUAUACACCACACACCAUUUUGUACAAGAAUGUUAUUAAUGAAAAUUUAAUACAACUUUCAACAACGGAUCUCUUGGCUCUCGCAUCGAUGAAGAACGCAGCGAAAUGCGAUAAGUAAUGUGAAUUGCAGAAUUCAGUGAAUCAUCGAAUCUUUGAACGCACCUUGCGCUCCUUGGUAUUCCGAGGAGCAUGCCUGUUUGAGUGUCAUUAAAUUAUCAACCUCUUCAAGAGGCUUGGAUUUGGAGUGUUGCUGGCUUGUUGUUGGCUCCUCUUAAAUGAAUUAAGCUUGUGUGUAGGCUUUGGUUUGAUAAUAUCUAUGCCAUCGCUGCAAUGCAAAACAACCUUGAAAUUUGACCUCAAAUCAGGUGGGACUACCCGCUGAACUUAAGCAUAUCAAUAAGCGGAGGAAAAGAAACUAACAAGGAUUCCCCUAGUAACUGCGAGUGAAGCGGGAAAAGCUCAAAUUUAAAAUCUGAUAGUCUUUAUGGCUGUCCGAGUUGUAAUCUAGAGAA